rnacentral:lncRNA from 1 species
CAUCUGCCCGUCAGCUCCCAGCGCCCGGUGGUCAAGGUGCUCAGGCUGUGCGUCUGGAUGAGGCCUGGCCCGUGAGUUCCUAGGGCACAUCCCCUGGGGUUGCAGAGAGGCCUGGACAGAGAGCAGGAGCACCAGGUACAGGCCAAGGUGAGGCCCCUGCAGGAAGGAGUGGCCGAGUGAGAGGCGGAGUCAAGAGGACUCGGGUUGGUCCACAAGAGGGAACUUUCAGAGUCCUCACCCCAAAUACCAGAGCUGUGAGUCCAGCCCCACAGCUCUCCAGACCUCCUGCCCUACUCAGCAAGGUGCUGCAGGACAGACCCAGCCACACUCCGGAGCUCCUCUGGUUCUAGCCCAGCCCUUCCGUCAUCCCGGCACUCCUCCAACCCCCUUCUCGUCACUAGCUCCCCCUGACAAGUUUUCCUCCCCCUGCCUCCUUCAUCGCAGAGAUUCUAAUUCUUACCUGGAGAGAAAGCCUCAGAGCCUACCGUCCCCUCCCUGUUUCCAACCCAAUCCAGCUCUGUCUAACCUUCCACUCUCCAGCUCCCCACCCCGCCUUGUCACUGACUCCACUAUACGACUCUUUGGAGCUCGCUCCAGCUGUGGCCAGAUUCCGCUGCAUUUUCCACUUUCCCCUGGACCUCGUCCCCCUAACAGACAAUUCUGGGUCUCCCGGCAACCUCCCUCACUUGCCCUCCCUUCCCCCUCUGCUCCGUCCCUCUGCCCCUGUGCUGUAACCACAGGACCCUCCGCCCUUGCUCCUCCUGCAUCUGCCCUGUUUCGCUCCGUAGUUCCUUCCGUGUUGGCCCUGAUCUCAGCAGAACUGCUGGUUCCUUGGACACUUGACCGUCUAGGGUACCCACUGCUGGUUUCCAACAAAACCAGUCAGUGUGAACUCUGUUGCGUUCUCAGCUGGCCAGCGGCGCUAGGGGAAGGUGACGUGCUGAAGGACUCGGGGGGAUUGGAGCUGGCGGUCAGGACGGUGGGGUGGGGAAGAGGCCUCCCAGCAUUUAAGGGGCCCGUGUACCCUAUGCCUAAAUAUUUAAAAGUGUUCAAUCAACUUAACAAGUUGUACAAAAUAUCUCUCCCCCAACUUGACAAACUUGCCUUCACAUUUGUCAUAUUUUCACCUGAAAACCCAGCUUUGAACUUAGAAUUCUCCCUGACACUGCUCGCCAAACGCAGCGGCCCAGGAAGAGCCAGUGCCCAGACCUUGGUCUGUUUUCCUCGUCCUCCCCCACAACUCUAUCCCAGGCCUCACAUCCAAACCUGUCGCCACCCUGGCUGUGUCCACCCUCCAGUCCUGGAAGAGGCCUCUGUGUUUGAGGAGGGAAUUCUAGGUCCCUGGGCGUGGCGGGCUCCAGGCAGCCCCAUUCCGUGAGAGCCGGCCCUCCUGCCUGAGUACAGGGUGGUCCUGGCGGGGAUGCCCCAGGGGUUCCUGCUCUCACAGAGGGUGUGCGUGAGGCUGGGUG